UACGAAGGGGGCUAGCGUUGUUCGGAAUUACUGGGCGUAAAGCGCGCGCAGGCGGCUAUCCAAGUCAGUGGUGAAAGCCCGGAGCUCAACUCCGGAACUGCCAUUGAAACUGUUUAGCUUGAGGAAGAUGAGAGGUGAGUGGAAUUCCCAGUGUAGAGGUGAAAUUCGUAGAUAUUGGGAAGAACACCGGUGGCGAAGGCGGCUCACUGGCUCAUUACUGACGCUCAGGCGCGAUAGCGUGGGGAUCAAACAGG
rnacentral:rRNA from 1 species